rnacentral:lncRNA from 1 species
UCAGGGCUGCCAAGGAGGGACACUGGUGGAACCUUGGAAAGAUGCUGACCUCUUGCUGUACAAAGUCACCGACCAUUGAGAAGGAGCUGCCUGGCCUUGGCACCCAGGAGGCAAAGCAAAAACACCAAGAGAUUGGACAAGUGGACAAGGAGAGAAUGUGUUCUUGGUGACCAAUUUCCUUGUGACGCCAGAACAAGUUCAGGGCAGAUGCCCAGAGGAUGCUGGAGUGUUUUCAGGUGAAGAAAAAAGCAUGAGAGGGGCUGGCCCGGUGGGGCAGCGGUUAAGUGUGCAGUUGUGCUUUGACGGCCCAGGGUUUGCUGGUUCGGAUCCCGGGUGCCAACAUGGAACUGCUUGGCAUGCCAUGCUGUGGGUCUUUGCUUCUUCCCUGGAGCCAGAGGCUGAGCUACUGUCCUGGUGUCACCUAGGGAGAUGAGACUCGCCACAUACUGCCCACCUCCAGAACAGCGAGGGCAGAGGCCAAAGCCCUCCUGGGGACGCCCUGACUCCUGAGCUUCACACGGCUAAGUCCACAAAUGGUUAUAGAAGGGAAAGGCCUUGAGAGCCAUCGCACUGCGGGGCCUCCAGCUGAGGGAAGGAGGGAGGGCCCAGUACCAGGCGACUCAUGACUCUGACACCGUGCCUUUCUCAUUUCAGGUUCUUCUGGAUGGUUCCAGAGCUGUAGGAAAAUCUCCCCUAGAAGCUCAAAGGUGACUGGGCUCAGGCUCAGAGGUGGCCUUCUAGGUGCAAGGGAGGGACUGUGUGGCCACCCCACUGACUUGCCCAGGGACAUGGUCAGCCUGCGAUCAGAGCUGGUGCAGCUUGCCUGCUCGGUCAGCAGCGUGAUGGCCAUGGUGUAGAGGCGGUAGCCCAGCAUGAGAAGGAGGGUGCAGGGCAGGGGCCUGAUGCAGGACAGAGGCCACAAAGAAGGCCAGCAGGAGUGACAGCAGUGUCUGAUAGCUGCCCAGGAAGCAUAGGCUGAGCCUGGGGUGCCAGCCAUAACCAGCCGUGUGCCCCCACCACACAUGGUGCAGCAGGUGCCUGUCUGGCAGCCUGGGCUCCGUGAGGUGGUAGUGACAGAAGCUGCUGAAGAAGUCAGCCCAGGAAUACAGGGCAGCCAUCUGGCCUGCAAACUAGAGCACCGACAGAGACAUGGGAGAGUGGGCAUGGGUGGGGUCUGCACUUUCCACCUGGCCUCUCCCAUAGGCUGGCAGGACAGGAAGCCAGCAUGGAGACGAGGGUGCGGCUCUCCCGCCCACACUCAUCCUGUGGUUGAUGGCGGAAGACAGCCGGAUCAGGCCAGCAAUCUCAUAGCUCUGGAUGGGCUACAGCUCUGCACUGCCCUGGUACUUGAUGUCAAACUUGCGCAGCCUGUUGAUGAUCUAGAAGCAGCAGGAGAGGUGAACGCCAGGUGAAACAUGGGUCAUGGGCGCAAUCCAGAAAAUACACCUUUGCUAAUGACUCAGAGGAGAUGUGUCUGUUACAGGGGUGAUGGGGGAGACGAGGACAGGCUGGCAGGACCAACGGCCAUGCUGCCUGGAAAGCCAGACAUCUCCGGGAUGUAGACCUUACCUGGUACUGGCCCAGGGGUGUGAGGAUGAGUCCGUCCUCACUGGCAGUGCAGUCUGGGAGCUGCUUUUUCCCAUUCUCCCCAAGGCAAGUGUGAGCCUCUGCCACUGCAAGACCAAGCCACACGCACAGGGGCUGAGAAAGGCUCCCCAGACCCCAGGGGAGAAGCUCCCCUGACCCCCGACUACCCAUGCGCUGGCCAGGAACAGGCAGCAAGUCUGCUCUGGAAACAGGAGGGCAGUGCAGGGGCUGUGCAACAUGAGAGGCCAAGUGCAGGAAGGUGUCAGACCCCACCUACCACAAAAACGGCUGCCUGCUGACGCACUGGAGGAAAUGGAGGGCAGUGUGAGCCCCAGAGUGGGCUGGGUCUGCUGGGGGCCACCUCAGCAGGAAAGCAGGAGGCACUGUAAUGGUAGAGGGGACAGACCCAGAUGUGACUCCCAGAGGCAUCGUGGCUCUCCCCGCCCCGGAGCACAAGCACCACAACCUCAUCUGCUCCUGUGGCCAGGGAGGGGGCUCUGGAAGUAGCACAGGGAGGACCCCAGAAAGGACAGGCCUCCAGCCCUCAGGGUCCAAGUCCGGCACAGAACAAAACCCACCUGCUGUUCAGCAACUGAGUGAGGGGUGAAGCUGGGUUUCUGCUUCCCACCAUCCAGCCCUUGGACACUAGCUGCGAUCGAGGACAAGGAGCAGCCGGUUGACCAGGCACACCAGGGCCAGAGCAGGAGAGGGGAAGACAGCUUGCGGCAACAUCCUUGGUGUGAGGGGACGGCAUUUUUGGGUACACGUCUAAGGAAUAAUGAUGAAGGCACAGUUCAACAAAAACCUGCAAAGAGCAUUAGCUGGUCAAAUGAUUUUUGACAAGGGUGUCAACACCAUUCAAUGGGGAAAGGACGGUCUUUACAACAAAUGCUGCCAGGAAACCAGGAUGUCCACAUGCAAAUUAAUGAAGCCGGACCCUUACUCAAAAAAAAAAACUCAAAGUGGACCAAAGACUUAAAUGUAAGAGCUGAAACUAUAAAACUCUUACAAGAAAGCAUGAGGAGAGAGCUUCAUGACACUGAAUUUGGCAAUGAUCUCUUAGAUAUGACUCCAAAACACAUGCAACAAAGGAAAAAAAACAGACAAAUUGGACUUCAGGAAAAUUAAAAACUUUGUGCAUCAAAAGACACUAUCAACAGAAUAAAAAGGCAACCCACAGAAUGGAGGAAAAUAUUUGCAAAUUAUGUGUCUUAUAAGGGAUUAAUAUCCAGAAUAUGUAGAGAACUCCUAAAACUAGGCGAUAAAAAAAACAACAACCCAAUUCAAAAAUGGGCAAAGGAUUUGAAUAGACAUUUCUCCAAAGAAGACAAACAAACAGCCAAUAAGGACCUGAGAAGAUGUUCAAUACUAGUAAUCAUUACAACAAUGCUAACCGAAAUCAAAAUGAGAUACCAACUCACAUCCAUGAGGAUGGCUGUAAUCAGAAAACAGAAAAUAAAGAGCAUUGGUGAGGCUAUAGAGAAACUGAACCCUUGUGCAUUAAUGGAAAGAAUGUAAAAUGGUGCAGUCACUGUGGAAAGCAGUAUCACAGUUCCUGAAAAAAUUAAACAGAAUUACCAGAUGGUCCAGUAAUUCCACUUCUGGGUAUAUACCUCGCAGAAAUUGAAAGUAGCAUCUGGAAGAGAUAUUUGCGCAUCCAUGUUCAUAGCAGCAUUAUUUUCAAUAGUCAAGAGGUGGAAGCAACCCAAGUGUCCAUCGACAGAUGAAUGGAUAAACAAAAUGUGGUAUAUCCAUACAAUGGAAUAUUAUUUGGCCUUAAAAAGGAAAGAAAUUUUGACUCAUGCUACAGUGUAGAUGAACCUUGAAGACACUAUGCUAAGUGAAAUAAGUCAGUCAUAAAAAGACAAAUACUGUGUAAUUCCACUCAUCUAGGCUCCUAGCAUAGUCAGAUUCACAGAGACAGAAAGUAGAACGGUGGUUGCCAGGGGUUGGGAGGAGGGGGAAAUGAGGAAUUGCUGUUUAAUGGGUAGAGUUUCAGAUUUACAAGAUAAAAACGUUCUGGAGAUCCAUUACAACGUGAAUAUACUCAAUACUACUGAACCGUAUACUUUAAAAUGGUUAAGAUGUAAAUUUUAUGUUAUGUGUAUUUUACCAUAAUUCCAAAAGAUUUUUAAUUAAAAAAAAAGGGGCAGCCCUGUGGGGCGUGGUCUGCUUUGGUGGCUAGGGGUUCACUGGUUUAGAUCCUGGGUG